CUAAAACAAAAGGGCACAAAACAUUUCAGGCAGAGGCAGUAGGAGAAACCAGCUGUCUUCCAGGAAGUCAGAAACUAGAGACAUUUGCAAAAGGAAUCUAUCAAGAGAUCCAAAGAGGAUAUGCCUGUACACUUGAUAGAAAGCAAGACGUAAGGCCCUCAGGAUGGAAACAAGCCAAGGAGCCCAGAAGCAGGGCCACGUCCAGGAAGCCAACAUUGCCCAGGAAAGGAACGAAGAAACCCAGCGGGACAGAAGCUCAAAAUCACUCCCAAGUGACGAUUCUCCAGUGCCUCAUCUGGGAGCCAAACCCGUUUUGACCCGCCUGCAAACUCCUCGUUGCCUUUUCCUCGAGGCGUCACCCCGUGUGUGUUGGCCUCUCUUGUUGUCCGUAAUGUCCAUCCUGUGCUUGUGGUUUGUGGGGGCACCUGUUUGGGGCUUGAGAGUUAUGGGUAUUGCUGAGUUUGCUUAGUUCUACUUUGAAAGAAAACAAAGCCAAAUGCUUUUGUUCCAGCUACAGAUCACUGGGGAGGAGGAAACACCGUUCUUAAUCAUUUGGCCUGUCUUUCCUCUUCUUUCACAUUCCCUCUGUAUUCCUUUUCCAUCUUCACUUAAGAAAUGC